rnacentral:pre_miRNA from 1 species
UGGCUGAGUUUGGCUACUCCGUUGACUGACGAGGGUAUUCACUGAUUGCAAGUUGAACCCGUAGUCAAGUCUACGGAGCAGCCUCUCAAGCCAA